rnacentral:rRNA from 1 species
AACGAACGUUGGCGGCGUGGAUUAGGCAUGCAAGUCGAACGAAUGCCAGUUUGGUAGUAAUACCGAGCUGGCGGAAGUGGCGAAAGGGGCAGUAAUGCAUGGGUAACCUACCUUGGGGAUGGGCAUAGCCGUUCUAACGGACGGGUAAUUCCCAGAGAUUCGACGGGAGGGCAUCCUUCUGUCGGGAAAUGAAUUUCGCCUCGAGAGGGGCCCAUGUGCUAUUAGCUAGUUGGUAGGGUAACGGCCUACCAAGGCUAAGAUGGCUAGCGGGUGUGAGAGCACGACCCGCGCCACUGGCACUGAGACACUGGCCAGACACCUACGGGUGGCUG